GACGAACGCUGGCGGCGUGCUUAACACAUGCAAGUCGAACGAUGAAGCCGGAGCUUGCUCUGGUGAAUUAGUGGCGAACGGGUGAGUAACACGUGAGUAACCUGCCCUUGACUCUGGGAUAACUGCUAGAAAUGGUAGCUAAUACCGGAUACGACCCUCGGAGGCAUCUCCAGGGGGUGGAAAGAAUUUCGGUCAAGGAUGGACUCGCGGCCUAUCAGCUAGUUGGUGAGGUAACGGCUCACCAAGGCGACGACAGGUAGCCGGCCUGAGAGGGUGGCCGGCCACACUGGGACUGAGACACGGCCCAGACUCCUACGGGGGGCAGCAGUGGGGAAUAUUGCACAAUGGGCGCAAGCCUGAUGCAGCAACGCCGCGUGAGGGGUGACGGCCUUCGGGUUGUAAACCUCUUUUAGUAGGGAAGAAGCGAAAGUGACGGUACCUGCAGAAAAAGCACCGGCUAACUACGUGCCAGCCGCCGCCGUAA
rnacentral:rRNA from 1 species